rnacentral:rRNA from 1 species
CUGCAGUGCGGCAGCUUACACAUGCAAGUCGAACGAACUCUUCGGAGUUAGUGGCAGACGGGUGAGUAACGCGUGGGAACCUACCUUUAGGUACGGAACAACAGUUGGAAACGACUGCUAAUACCGUAUGUGCCCUAUGGGGGAAAGAUUUAUCGCCUAAGGAUGGGCCCGCGUUGGAUUAGCUAGUUGGUGGGGUAAAGGCCUACCAAGGCGACGAUCCAUAGCUGGUCUGAGAGGAUGAUCAGCCACACUGGGACUGAGACACGGCCCAGACUCCUACGGGAGGCAGCAGUGGGGAAUAUUGGACAAUGGGCGCAAGCCUGAUCCAGCCAUGCCGCGUGAGUGAUGAAGGCCCUAGGGUUGUAAAGCUCUUUCAGCGAGGAGGAUAAUGACGUUACUCGCAGAAGAAGCCCCGGCUAACUUCGUGCCAGCAGCCGCGGUAAU